rnacentral:rRNA from 1 species
CAUGCAAGUCGAGCGAAUCAAUGGGAGCUUGCUCCCUGAGAUUAGCGGCGGACGGGUGAGUAACACGUGGGUAACCUGCCUGUAAGACUGGGAAACUCCGGGAAACCGGGGCUAAUACCGGAUAACAUCUAGAAUCGCAUGAUUCUAGAUUGAAAGAUAGUUUCGGCUAUCACUUACAGAUGGACCCGCGGCGCAUUAGCUAGUUGGUGAGGUAACGGCUCACCAAGGCAACGAUGCGUAGCCGACCUGAGAGGGUGAUCGGCCACACUGGGACUGAGACACGGCCCAGACUCCUACGGGAGGCAGCAGUAGGGAAUCUUCGGCAAUGGACGAAAGUCUGACCGAGCAACGCCGCGUGAGUGAAGAAGGUUUUCGGAUCGUAAAACUCUGUUGUUAAGGAAGAACAAGUACGAGAGUAACUGCUCGUACCUUGACGGUACUUAACCAGAAAGCCACGGCUAACUACGUGCCAGCAGCCGCGGUAAUACGUAGGUGGCAAGCGUUGUCCGGAAUUAUUGGGCGUAAAGCGCGCGCAGGCGGUCUUUUAAGUCUGAUGUGAAAGCCCACGGCUCAACCGUGGAGGGUCAUUGGAAACUGGAGGACUUGAGUGCAGAAGA